CUCGUACAGUCGUGGUGAGCGCGAGAGUAGCCCAAGCGAACCGUCUAAGAGUUAGAGUAUUCCGAGCGAAAUCGUAUAUAUCGUAAGAAGGAAGGAAGGCGAACAUUCGAACCAUUCGAAUUACAUUUAGAAAAAUAAAAUAAAAUUAUUGAUCCAUACCACCAAAGUGUUUUGAAUUGAAGCUUUAUAUGUAGAGCUUGUGGAAAUGAAGAGGGCCCACAGGAUUGGAGAUUAACAAAUUGCUGCCAGUAGAGUAAAAUGUAGAUCAAUUUUGAUUACAAGGUAAGUUGUCAAAAUCUGAAUUGUCAGGUACCUUCAUUCAUACAGAAUAGAUCCAUACCACUAGUGUUUUUAAUUUAAACUUUUUAUGUAGAGCUUAUAGAAAUGGAGUCAUUUUCUCAUUGCAUCAUUAACAUUAAAAUUUCUUGCAGCAAGGAAAAAAAUUGCAGGUAUAUAUAAUUAUUUAUAAAUUGAACGAAUAAGUGUUUAUAAUUAAUAAAUUAUAUAUAUUCGCUUUUGUUAUCCCCUCUCCCUUUAUUUUACUCUAUUCAAUUAAAGAAACAAAUAAUAAUUUAGACUUCUUAUGUAGAGUUUACAGAAAUAUCAAUUUUAUUUUUAUAAAUUUAAAAUAGAUUCUAUAUAAUAAAUGAUUUGUAAAAAGAAGUGAGAUCCGAUAAAAAGACCUCAAAAAAGUAAAAAAAUUACGCCAAGUACAUGAAAAAAUGGAGGACUCAAGGAGUUAUCAUUGAAAAAUAGAAGAUCCCCAUAAAAAACUACAAGAAAGUAGAAAAAUAUGUGAAAUCGAAAUGAGCUGCCAGACGAUUCGCCUAGACUUCCGUGGCCUGGAAGUCAAAUGCUUGGCGUGACCAGGCAAGGCAUUCUUAGAUCAUUAUAACCCAUACUUUCUCUUUCACAGACUUUCAGAUAAUUUGUCAAUUUAAAACUCUGACAAUAUCAUAAGUACACUUUCAUUGUUUUGCGUUUUAAAAUAAUUCUUAUUCAUCGACACCUUGAUCUUGCCUGGCCACGCCAAGCAUUUGACUUCCAGGCCGCGGAAAUCUAGGCAAACCAUCCUGGGAGCUUAUUUCGAUUUCACAUCUUUUUCUAUUUUCAUGUAGUUUUUUAUGGGGAUCUUCUAUUUUUCAAUGAUAACUUCUCGAGUCCUCCACUUCUUCAUGUACUUGGCGUAAUUUUUUUACAUUUUUGAAGUCUUUAAUCAAUUUCACAGCCGCUUAAUGACGACACACCCGCAGGGGAACAGCGAUGAGCGACGUUACGACCGGGUCGAAAUCACUUUCGCACGACCCACAGGAAUAAUCGGUGUUCACCUGUACACGGGAACGAAGGUACCUUCAACGAACGGGCUGUGUUACGAAAGGUGAAAUGUUGUAAAGGGAACCUUGGCCCAGGUCGUGUAAAACCUGUCGCCCGGCAAAUAUGCAUCUACUCGACCCUGCUUGGGUCCUUUCGUCCCUUCCUCCACGGGGAAGAGCAACCUGCACUUCCCACGGAAGCGAAGAGCCGAGGAAGAAGCAGCCUGUUAAAAUUGACAUGUGCGCGAUUCUUAAUCUCCCGUGCGGAACCCCAUCCGAGUUCCAGGACCGUUCAUCUCGUUGCAUUCUCUCGCUUGACUUUUCUUUGUUCGAGGAGUGUCUUACUAGCGGACAGAUGUUCCUCGAGCAUGUGAAAUUUUCUGGAAAGAGCUUUUCACGAUUAGUUCUCGCAUUGUUACGUCACUAAAAUUCGACUACGUUGACAAUUUAUCGAUAUGUUCACUGACAGCUCCGGACCCAAAUGGCGUACUAUUAUACUUUUCUUUGCUCCUUUAUUUAGUAUUACCUUAAAUCUUUAGUACGCACCUAUUGAUUUGGAAGUAAAACAAGACAAUUCAUAUCACUGACGGCUCUGGACCUAUAUGGCAUACUAUUAUACUUCUCUUUGCUCCUUUAUUUAGUAUUAUCUUAAAUCUUUGGUACGCACCUAUUGAUUUGGAAGUAAAACAAGAAAACAAAAUACAAUUAAUUGUCAAUUUGUACUAAAGACAUAUUAAAGGUACUUUAGUAUUUACAUUAUUAUGGGUGAGCAAAAUUUCGAUAAAUUCCAUUAUAGAUAUUUGAUGCUUUAUGAGUUUCGACAUCAUAACCUUGUCACAAAUGACAUUAGUAAUGUCACAUUACAUAAUGUUGACUAUCCUGGAUUCUUAAAUGGCAAAAUACGUCAGCAUUGAAUUCAAUAAUUUAAGAACGGUGAAUUUAAUAUUCUCGAUGGCAUGAAAUCUGGAAGACUCAUCGAGAUGGAUAAAGAUCUGCUUUUAGUUGAAAUUGAACCGUUUAAAAAUUAAUAAUUAUUCAGAAUGUAAUUGUAAAUCCUACUCAAAUCCUAAAUGCAGAAUUUAGGCACAUUAUUGUGCUCAGCUUAAAAAACUAGUCAUGAUUUAGAUUGAAAACCGUCGCAGAUUGAUUAAUCGAAAAGAUGUUAUUUUGCAGCAUGAUAAUGCAAGAUUUCAUAUUAUAAGGACCACUCAAGAAAUAAUAAAAAGGUUGAAUUAAGAAGUAUGUACAUAUUUCCUCAAACAUUGCAUUCACUUGAUACUACUUCGGUGGAUUACUAUCUUUUAAGAUCUAUCGAUCAUUUUCUUCGAAGAAAAUUUAAGGACACUUUAAAAAAUUUUUAAUUAAAAACAUUGUUUAAAUAUCACUAAAGACUACAACAUACUCAAAUUUUGUCAAAGAGUGUCUUAUUUCGCAAGGAAUGGUGUACUUAUUUAUAUAAAGAGAUUAUUCUGAAUGCUAUGGUACAGAAAGUAACAGCUGUUGCACACGUAAUGACUUUUUUAUACAGUCAGUUAUGUAAGUAAAGAAAUUAAAGAAUUAAAUAGAAUGAAGUAAUCAUAAAGUCGUACAAAAAUCGUAGGAAUAAAUUUAUGUAUUCAUAUGUUAAUGUCAAUCAACGCGAUUUAGUUAAAAUUAGAUAUGGAGUCUCUAGUUAAAGUUAGAGACUCUAUAGAGACUAGUUAAAAUGUACCUGUAGCGCAACGUAUCGAAUGCGAAUCACACUAACCAAUUGCUUAGCGACUAACAAAAGUUUCUUGCAAGUAUAAGUAAAAUCGGUCUAUUAGUGUAGAAGUUAUAUUUUGGCGGCACCUAUCGUAAUGAAACAUAUCUAAAACAAACCUUACUCGUCAGUAACACAUGGUUUGAAGAUCUCACGAUCAGUAGUUCGUUCACGAUCAUGCGUUUUACUCGCGCACAAUGGAUUUUGUAUACAGAAAAAAGAAAAGAUUAUACUGAUAAUACUGAAUAUUUUAGGAGAUAUUUCAUUUUAUUUUUAAUAUUUCAACACAACUUAAUUGCUAAUUAGUUCACAGAAGGAAAUUUAAAGAUUUGACAAAUUUCUAAUAUCGUAGCUGCCAUAUAAUAUAUUGAUAUUUUAUUAUUAUUAUAUUUGAUAUUUGACAUUGAUAUUUCCUGUAAAAAAAAAAUGAACAGAUAAUUCCAUCGACACAAUUACAAAGAGCAUCAUAUAAAAUAAACAGAUAAUUCCAUCGACACAAUUACAAAGAGCAUCAUAUAAAAUUUUCUUCUACGAUUUCAUUUAUCUUCACUCGAAAAACAGAUAUAACCUGAUCCUGUUAUUAAGUAUACUCUGUAUAAUAAGUGCGUGAAAUAAUAGGCUGCCUUAAAAAUGCGCGAGUAACGAGAUGAAAUAGUUUGGUACGGAUAACACAGUGUGCGAGGGUAUAAGUAGUAGCCAGUCGAAUAAAUAAGACGACGCGCUUCCGUCUACCUACGGCGGCAACUUGCUGGGUCGUUUCAGAGUUCCAUAUCGCCUAUCGUAAUGGGCUUUCUCACGAAUCUCGGUCCAUUAAAAGAAUUCGUUUACGACUUGUUGCGCGCCGAUAUGGCCGAGCUAACACAGCUAACCGGUACGCGGGACACCGACCGCCGGAGUACUAUCAAUUAGAAUGAAAUUGCGCGGGUCCUCGUCGCGAACGCCAUGGCGUAGGUGGGGUGAGACGAGGCGAGCUUGUCCUUAGAGAUGCGAGAAUGGAAAGGAAUCGAGGAAUCUAUUAUUCACCUCAGCGGUAAUCAUCCACGAUUGUCUUCGUGUCAAACGCUAUCAAGUGGAAGCCAGUACGAGUACUCAGAUUUUAUUAGGAGGACUCCAAAUACAAGCAGCUCGCUGUGUCUCCUCUUCGAUGUCUUUAACGAUUUUCGCCACAAUGACGCUAUUAUUUCACUUGAAAUGCGCCUGACGACAGUUGAAAGUUAUAAGCGUUGUCUCGUCUGAAUACGUCUUAAUCCUUUUGGUAUUUAUUCAUUUUUUCCUCUUUUUCUUUUAUUUUCCAGCGAAGAAUGUGAGGAAUGUCGUCGAUGAACGAAGAUUUUCUAAGACCGCUGCCGAGACAAUCGGGAUUUUUUUACUCUACCAAAAAGAAAGUAUGGACGUAAACAAAAUCGGCGUUAUUUUUUCAAUGGCUGGAAGAAAAUGUUUUUAUCUCAAUUACGGACUCGGCUAAUCGAAAAAUGAGAUUUUCAUUUAAAUACGCGAGAAAAUUCUUUUACCCUUUCAAGAAUAUUUUUCAUUAACCACAAAAUUUUGUAGAAAGAAAAUGAAUUACACAGUUUUGCUAAAGAAUUACAAAAUUAGCUACAAAAAAGAUUCAUGAGUAAAGUUUGUAUGGCUAAUACUUCUCGAAUUAUAUAGUUGGAUACACAAUUUUUAAUUAAAACUGGUGGAAAAUCAUAUAGAGAACCAGUCAUUCGGAAAUAAUUCGUAAAAUAUUGGUUUCCUGAAAAUUCUACAAGGGAACUUUUUCCUAGAAAAUUAAAUUGUCUAUAAAAAACAUUCUAUAUAAAGUCAUAAAAUCGAUCUUUUUGGAGAUUUUUGGUGAUUGAUGUUUUUUAACAUAUUAAAAAUGUUAGAAAAUUAAUUUUUCGCAGGUAACUUACGAAAUAUCAAUUUGGAAUUCAAAAUAACUACUCAAUAUAUGUAAGAUAAUUUAUGCAAAUACAUUACGAAUCUUUCUUCUUUAUCUUCUAAAAUGCAUUGUUGAUAUCCGAGUCAUUUUAAAAAGAACUUCGAGAUACAUUAAAGAAUAGAAAUAAAAAUAACUGGAACAAAAUAUAUUGAACAAAUACAACACCCAGAAAAUACUUACAAUAAGCAAUAAAUCAAUACAAAUUUAAUUAGAAUCACGAGUAAAAAGUGUAUGGUUAAAAAAGUACGUGCACUAUGUACAUGUGUGUUACAACAAAUAUAUCCAUACAUGUUAUUUAAAAAUUGACAGUUAUUGCUGGUUUCAUCUGCUCUGAUCACUAGCGAAUUGGUUAAUGGAUAGGAAGUAUUAUUUUCGUUUCGGAAUGCCAAUUCGUUCUUAUUUGGAAUUACAAGAUCACACUGUAUUUGCACUUCGCGUGUCGCGUAAUAUUUUAUGCCUGUUCUAUACAAAACAUUAUUUUGUCGCGACGACAUCUGCAGCUUAAAAGUCACAUUAUCGUGGCGAAGCCAAUUAAGCGAAACUUCGGUGCAAAUACCAAGGAAAUCUGAUCAGCCACCUUAGCCGACACCUGUUUUGAUCUCCCUGCAAACAAGACAGGUGCCACCAGAAACUAAAAACUACACAUUAACUUGUCCAACGGAGAAAAGUAUCCUUUAGUAAAAAUUGAUGCAUACAUAAAGAAAGAGAAUCAGAAAAUACACAGGGUGGUCCAUCAAAUAAUUCCACCUCGGUUUACGACAAUAUGUAUAGCGAAAAAUAAUUCAUAUAGAGCUGAAUGGUUUCGAGUGGGGCACAUGGUAUUAUAAUAGAGUAGAGAUCGCAUGAAGGCCAUUAAGAAUUUUUAAAAUGGGAUGAUAUACUUUUUAAUACGCCAAUCGAUGCAACUUGAUAGUUUCUACAAAAAUGUAUUAAGUUAUCUAUGUCCAUAAAUAAUUAGCUUAAAAGAUAUUUCAAUUUUAGUAUCGUUAUGAAAUCAUAAUUAUCGCGAUGUCUGAGCAUUCAUGUACGGAAGAAAUGAAUCAAACGGCGUUAUAUCGAGAUUCUACUGCACCAGCUAGAUUCUAAUAAGCGAAAUGUAUUUAUAUUUAUUACAUAUGAGAAAUAUUUUACGCGAAUAUAACUCUUAUGUAACUAAUACUAAAUGAUUUCUAGUAGACAAAUCUGUCGUCAUUGUUAAAUAUCUUUGUGGAUAGGGUAAAUGAACGACUUCUCAUAUUGGCUUCUAUAGAGCGAGUGUUUAUUACGUGCUUGCACAUACAGAAAAAGAAGAAAAGUGUCUCCUUCGCACGCUUAACGUAUGUGCCUAUAGUGACGUUUUUGCUUAUAUUUAAAUUUACUUAUAUUCUAACAGUCACAUUUUAAGAUAUUUAUAAAUAAAACGCAGUUAAUCUAAUAAGUUGAAGGAUAAAUCCUGAGUAAUUUAUCUGUUGCGCCGAAUUAGUAAAGUUAGAGCGCGAGAGGAGCACAAAAAGAAGGUUACCGACCCUCGCUCGAUAUUCAUCCUGAAGGCUUCCGCCAAGCGGCCACUUUUUAUCCUGUUUCCGGCUCGGGAUCCCUCAGUGGUUCGGCGUUUGUCCACCGGAAGCAUUUAGGCCUCGUCACGCUUCUUUUAAUUACGCGACUUGGCCACCGCAAUCCUUCUUUCUCGUCCGUACCACGCAUGCACCCACACACGGGCGUACGCUCGUGCAAGGUAAGCGUAUCCUUAGCAGGAGCUCGACACCUGGCACUGCCGAGGGGAAUUAAUUUUUUGGAUUAGCUUAUCGCCUCUAGGCGACCUGCUACUUAUUUUGCUCGUGAACGAGGUUAAGACCGGCUAAGCAGCUUUGCGUUAAUGAGGUUUCGGGAGGAGAUGCAACGUUUGCUCUUCCUUUAAAUAUUGUUUCAUGCCUAGGGGAAACUUCGAGUGAUAGACCCGUAUACUAGUGCCUUCCGUCGCUUUUAUAAUGAAUAGGUCUAAAGAAGAAGUCGAUAACCCUAUCGUUAAAAGUGAAGUUCGUGUCUUUGCAAUGAAUAUUGCCAUUUGAUAAUCCUUGUUAUCGUACUUUUAUGAAUAGUUUGAACCGUUCGAUGGAAUUAGUUUUUGGUUGCUUUUCCUUAAUAGUUUAAGUUUUCGAUUAAUAGUUUUCCUUUUCACGUACUGUUCAUUGUAUUUAAUGUACCAAUCCAUCGCAGAACAUUACAAUAAAUUUGACUUUAAUGAAAUAUUUUAAGAAACACAUUGUACUAUUGAACAAUGCUUUGGAGUCUGUAAGACUUUCAUACUUCAUUAUAUUUCAUUAUAUUUCAUACUUUAUUUGUUUCAUUUAUAUUUAUGUAUAUAAUUAUAUAAUUUUUUUUAUUAAAAUUGAAAUUUUUAAGAACCGAUCAAUAAUUUUUAGAUUAUUAGUUAGAAUUAUCUUCAUAAUUAUUUGUAUAGAAUAAAUUCAUGUAAAGAUAUUUAUUGCUUAUUCAUCGGUUGUUCGUAAUAAUAUUCUUUUCGUCAUGUUAGAAUUAAUUUCAUAUAGAACAUUUUAUUCUAAAUAAUCUUAAUAUUAAUGUUUAUGUUAGAAUGUUUAUUGCAAUCACAAAAGUAUAUUUCGAUGAGAACAUGGUUAAAAAUAAAUCCUAUCUAUCAAAACAACUAUCACAGAAUGUCACAAAAUUUUCCUACCGUAUACCAAUCUUUUUAAUAUUACUUUAGUAACAAAUUUUACAUCGUUUCUUUUUUUAAAUUAAAGUUCUCAUUGCAGAUCAUUUCCUAAAUUUGUUAGUAUCCUUUUUUGUUUAAGACUAUUAUUAUUAUAUGCAAUCAUACAUUUACAAUAGCUGCAUUCAUCUGCAAAUCUAUAACAGCCAAAUGAGUGUGUAUUUUAUUUUUCUUUAUAAACACACUAUAUGUAUAAAUUUAAUUGGACAAAUGGGAGCUAUAAUUGACCGAGAAUAUAAUUGUUGGAACAACGAUGUACAUCUAAAUGUCUUACCGAAUUUCGUGGUUAAUGAAGUAACUUUCACUUUGCAAAAUGCGUAACAAAAACGUCGCGUGUAAAUUUUUAUUUUAAAUUAUUGUUAUCAGUGUCGGAAUCUUCUCUAUUUAAAUUUGAAUGUUGUAGUCCUUAGUAAUAUUUGAACGUAUCUCAAAGUAUUUUGAAAAAUUCUGAAAAAUUUUGAAAAUGAUCGGUCUUACAGCUGUUCAAAGUUUUGUGCUACCUUUUUGUAAAAAAAAUAUGGCUAUUGAACUAGGCAACGGAUGAAAAUGACCUUUUACGUGCUUAUAGUGAAGACGUCGAAGUAUCAAAUAAAAAUUAUUUCAGAACAAAAAAGAGUUUUUUGAACCAUUUUUUUUUUUUCGUAACACAGAUGGUUCAAUGGAUAUUUCUGAUUCUCUAUUUACAAAUAUUGAGAUUUCGAACUGGAACCUUAUUUUUAUCAAAAUAAAAUGUAGCCUACGUCGUUCCUCAGGAUGCAAUCUAUCUCCUUCCCAAAUUUUAUCGAAAUCUGAUCAGCGGUUUAGGCGUGAAAAGGUAACAAACAGGCAGACAGAGUUACUUUCGCAUUUAUAAUAUUUGUAUGGAUUGAUUUUCAAACGGCAAGGCGAUUGGCCGAAAUAAUUGUCUUCGGUGUAGAAAAUAAAUUUUUUCUUUCCGUUGUUUUCCAUUGUGCCCUGACUUUUGAUUGUGGUAGCUUAUUCUGGAAUGCCUUUGAAACUAAAAAAUUAAUUUCUUCAAAUUCAGUAAAAAAUGUAUUUUAAUCAUUCAAAUUAGACGAAAGCAAAAAAUACAUGCACGUGUUUUAAACAUUCACUUUAAUUUAUGUUGGGAAGGAAAGUAUUCUAAGUCUAAUGUUAGCCUGGGGCUCUCUGAUUUAGUAUAUGUUAUACACAACUCUACUAACUAGUAGAACUAUCUACAGUUACAACAGUUAGGACGAAUACCUAAAUUAGACGAAUUUAUACAAAAGGUGAAAAACGUAUUGAGGUCUAAAUUCAUUCCAAACACCUUAAGACAUGACUGGAUAUUUUAGCUGAGGAGAUCAGUAAAGUAACUAUAAUUGCGCAAUAUAUCCUUGGACACCCUAAUACUUACUCGUGUUGCUCUGUUAGCAGAGUUGACCGAUGGCCUGGUUUCUUACACUCCCGUCGCGGUCGAACGAUGCGUUCCAGGUAUAAUUAAAGGAGAGUUUAAAGGCUUAUAUAGUUCGAGUGUUUAUUCGGUCGAUAAACCGGUUGACAAACAGGCGUCGAAAAAAAAUGUUAAUUGUAAUGUCCACGGUAAUGUGAGUUAAACGCAUAUACUGGCUUGGGCCCGAGAGAUGACGAAAACGACACGGAGAGUCGCAGCUCGGCUACCCUGCAGAGGUACUGCUCGUUCACUCGAGUGGAUUCGUGACUCCCCGAAGGUUCUAAACGCCUCGCGAGAGAAAUAAAUUGCAACCAAUCGCAUGCUGAGAUGCCAUGCCCUUGCGAUAUACGUAUACGACGUCCUUUUUACAAAGUAUGAACUUCUGUCAGACGUUAACAAGUCCGUCUUUGUGGCUCUCGUACUCGGAUAAUGUUGCCGAAGGACUUCCAUCAUAUGACGAGGAUGAACAUAAUAAAACGUUGAUAGUCUAACAUUACAAUUACCUCGUCUUUUUCUGUGGAUGUUAAUACGAAGUUGAUGUUGGAGAUUGUAGAGUACGAGGAAAAUAUGAACGGUGGGAGGCUUGUUGAUUUGUAAUUUCAUCGUUUUGAUGCAGGUGUACACACUGUCGAGUAGCGCUUGACAGUCUUAACAAUUUUCUUAAUCGCUCUAACCGAUGAUAAUCAUUUAUAUAAAUGAAAAACAGAUUAUAGACGCUAAAAAACAAUCCUGGAUUUCACUUUUCGUUAAUUAUUUCUAUUAUCUCGAGCGUUCAAUAUACAACAAAAUCAAUAUCACUCGAUUUCUUAAAGCUUUAGAUACAUAAAGAAGAAAAACUUUUGGAAAGAUGUUUAACCCUUUGUACUCGAGGCCUUUUUUCUGGUAUCUACCAGCAUCUCGAGAUGUUUCUUAGCAUUCUAUUGCCAUGAAUUCGAAGCUAUCUAGAUUUGAGAAUAAGUUCACCUUUACCUCACCGACAAUCAUUUUAUUGACACUUCGAGCUUCAAAGAAAUUAAAACUAAAGAAACAUUAGGUAUUGUAGAUUUGCUGCGUGAAACCUAAUGGUGACUGAGAGUCACCUCUCGAGUGCAAAGGGUUAAUAUUAAAAAAGUUAUAAAAUGACAAGUACAGAAAUGAAUGUUCCAACUUAUACUAGAAGAAGAAGAAGUAUUUCUUGAUGCGUGAUAGACUUGGCCCACUACUGACCGAAACGAUCUUCCACAAAUCACGUGAUACAGGAAAAAAAGUCCAUCUUCAAGACGAUAAUAUAAUUCCUUGAAAAGCGUACGACUCUAGGGCCCACGGCUGGUUUUCCUGAAAAGCGAGUGAAAACACGCGAAAAACCGAAAUCGUAGGAUCGUCUGGAUCAUGUCGGUCGAAUGAAACCAAGCGCGAAUAAGGGGAGAAGCUUCUAAACGCGGUGGUUCAGGUUCGUCUUUCUUCUACCAGACUCCGGGUCGAUCCUUUGCGGUACUAUCCGUUUCAGCAUCCCAUUGUCUUCCCGUUCCUCCUUGUCUAUUUACACGUGGACCCUUUGAAGAAGCCGCUGUCAGUUUUUCAUUGCUACCGCUGUUAAACUAAGCGAAAGGCAUUCUUACCGCAGUGUGCAACUAGGUUGGGUUCCCGUGGUAGGUACACGCUGGUACACUAGACAUACCCAAGACCCUGUUUUAGGUCGGGUAUACGAGGUCAGCACGCGCUUUGUACUAUGCGGGUUAAGUUACUCGAGCACCAAAUCGAGCCUUUGUACCUUGUUAAGUUAAAACCUCGGCCAGGAUUACUUGUCUUCCGAACAUGGUGCUCGAAGGGGCCCCCGAGCGAUCUUAUAGGAAAUGCACGAUAACUAAACACCGAGACGUUGACUAAUCUUCGCGUUCAGCCGUGUUUCGUUUCUCCUGGUGUUCGGUACGACGGUUUUCGCGCCAAACCCUUGUGAGCGUAUCGAUGAAAUACCGCCGACAAUUUGUAGACGAUCAUUCCACGGCGCGCCGUGGUCGGAUCUAUAUGGAAACGCGGAAAAAACCUCGUAACUUCUACGUUUUUUAAUAUUUUUGAAUAAUUCUUUUUUUAUAUUAAUUCUUAAGUGGAACUUUAUAUGAUAACAAUAUUAGGAAGAACGGCAUAUGGUUAAUGUGCACAUAAAGUAUUGAAUUGUCCAUUUAUGACAAAGUAGAAGCACAUUGGAAUCUUAAUCUGAGUUUAUUGUUGUAAUUAUCACAGUUGUUACAAAAAUAAAACAUUUAACAAUUAUUUGUUGAAAUAAAAAUAAAUAUAAAAUAAAAUUUAUUGAACUUGACAACUACUGCACAAUGUGGAUAAAAAUGUACGUUGACCUAGGAGUAAGAAUCAGCAUAAUUACCAAAAAACAGAUCGUUAAAAAACACCUCCCGAAAUUUAUGUCAAUAUAUACAACAGAAGCAUAAACAUUAGAUACUAGAUGGUUUGAAACGUAUUCACGCGCGUAACAUUCAAAACUUGAUCUCAAAUCUCUAAAUUUUAAAUAUAUAUUCUAGAUAAAAUCUCUAAAUAUAAGAAAACUUCACGAAACUGACUAAUAAUGAGUAUAUAAAAUUCAUAUGAAUCUUAUUCCACCAAAGCAUACCAGUCAACGAACAAACAAACACCACUGCUAAAGCAGUCACUAAACCCACACCUUCACCAAUGUAUUAAGCCUCCAUUUGUUUCACUAUGAUAACAAAGAAAUUGAUUUCUUCACCCAUAAAAUGUGUUCUCAUAUAGUAAUGCUAUCGUAUUGUAGUAAUUCAUCUAACAUAGAAUUUUGUUUCAUAGGUAAAUUGUUAAGAUAUGCGUAAUUUUUGUAUGCAUUUUGUAUGCCUUUCAUGAGCAUGCGUGCGCAUUUCCAGAUGCGUAAAUGAGAGUGUUGCAUUAAACAAAAGAGAGCGCAGAGAACGGAGCAGAAGCG